rnacentral:misc_RNA from 1 species
ACCAUGAUGUUCACAGAUGUCCCAUUUGGGCCUAGUAACAGUGAAGAUGCUUCAAAGGAAGAUUUACCCAGCACAUCCACCCCAUUCACAGAUAUCAGUUCAUCUCCCUGUCGUACACCGGCAUUAUGGGCAGGGCCAUCCAAUAGGAGCCCUAAAACCUUCAGUUUUGAACCUCCAUUGCCAUCUGGAACAUCCCUGAGGUUAACUCCAAUCCCAGUCAUAUCAUAUCUAGCCAUCUUGGA